rnacentral:rRNA from 1 species
UACGUAGGGGGCAAGCGUUGUCCGGAUUCAUUGGGCGUAAAGAGCGUGUAGGCGGUCAGGUAGGUCGGUUGUGAAAACUGGAGGCUCAACCUUCAGAGGUCGAUCGAAACCCCCUGGCUAGAGUCCGGGAGAGGAGAGUGGAAUUCCUGGUGUAGCGGUGAAAUGCGCAGAUAUCAGGAAGAACACCCGUGGCGAAAGCGGCUCUCUGGGACGGUACUGACGCUGAGACGCGAAAGCUGGGGGAGCAAACAGG